UACGGAGGGUGCAAGCGUUAUCCGGAUUUACUGGGUUUAAAGGGUGCGUAGGUGGGCAGGUAAGUCAGUGGUGAAAUCUCCGGGCUUAACCCGGAAAUUGCCAUUGAUACUAUUUGUCUUGAAUUAUCUGGAGGUAAGCGGAAUAUGUCAUGUAGCGGUGAAAUGCUUAGAUAUGACAUAGAACACCAAUUGCGAAGGCAGCUUACUACGGAUAUAUUGACACUGAGGCACGAAAGCGUGGGGAUCAAACAGG
rnacentral:rRNA from 1 species